GGCGUUGCUUGGUGGAAAUAUAGUAGCCAAUGAGGUUUAGCCGAAACGCGAUUAUUGCUAAUCGAAAACUUCCCAAUACCCCACCGUGACGAUUUGCAAUACAGUCAGCAUUGGCAAUUUUUGAGUCUCUACGAAA
rnacentral:snRNA from 1 species